UAGCCGAGUGAAUAAGGUGUCGGACUUGUGAUCCGUACAACCCGAGUUCGAAUCUCGCG
rnacentral:tRNA from 1 species